CCCUGCCCUGCUUAUGCAGUGCCAUACUUCAGUAAAAUUUCAAUCACAUUCAAGUUGAUUACCCGCCAGUUGACAUGUUCACGAGCAGAGUGCUCAGCGUAUUUCAGAAGAAUGCACCUACCGCUUUGAGCACAGUCACACCUCUGGGAUGGAGAGGAAUUAUUUUAUUUUCAGAUCUUUUCUUCACUUCAUGUUUCGUGUUGAAUAGCUACUGGCUGUGGUGUGUCGAAGUCACCGAAAUACCGGUAGAGAGCUGACAAGGUGCAGUGCAACCUAGGUGAGAAGGUCUUCCUUGGGAGAAAAAGUAUACUUUCAGAAUUCUUGGGAGUGUGUCUGAAUACUCGACAGGUGAGCUUCGAGCAGUGCUACAACGUGUCAGUUUGCAAUGACUAUGUGGCCAGCUAUCCGCAUUCCCGUACGUUUGGUGCUGCUGCUGAUUGGUACAGCCCCGCAGCUAUUUAUUACCUUUAUGGGGACAGGAAACGGGCUGAUUGUCUCGUCGCAGACAAGUGGCUGUGAACCUAGCCCAUGUUUGAAUGGAGGACGAUGUCUGGAUCUACUAUCAGGCCCAAUAUCUAUUUGCUCAUCUUACCCUUUCAUCGAGGGCGAUCGUUGUGAAAUCAACGUAGAAGAGCGUAGGCGGCUGAAUCCACAAUGUCCAUUUAGUGCCUGUUUGAAUGGAGGUACCUGCAGGCCUUUAGCGGAUGGACGCUUCACCUGUACCUGCCGACC